rnacentral:rRNA from 1 species
GAUGCACGCUGACAGAAUGCUUCACACAUCAGCAAUUGAUUGUUGACGGCCGGGUGAGUCACGCGUAAAUAACUUGCCUCACAGGUAGGGACAACAUUUGGCAACGAAUGCUAAUACCUACUACUGUAAGAGAGCUUUGCGUCCGAUUGGCUAGUUGGAGAGGUAACGGCUCACCAAGGCGAUGAUGGGUAGCCGGCCUGAGAGGGUGAUCGGCUACAAGGGGACGGAGACACGGGCCUUACGCGUACGGGAGGCAGCAUCGGGGGAGAUUGGAAAAUGGUGCAAAGUCUGACACAGACAUUCGGUGGGCAAUAUGAAGUUUUGGGAAUGUAAAGUGCUUUCAAGGGAGAAGCGGUACCAACAGAAGAAGCGACGGCUAAAUACGUGCCAGCCGCCGCGGUAAUUC